UUUGUCUUUGCUGCUGCAGGGGGACACAAACGCAACCGUGACAACGCAGCAAACCAGUAAUGACGGGAGGUGGAUAACUGCAAUUGCACCGACAGGUGACACAUAUGUGGAAACCAGAAGAUGAUCGGGGAGACGACUUAGAUCAUGUCCCCCUCCUGACUUCCUGUGGGAACAGCAUUUGUCGAGCAGUGUUUCCCCUGUCAAGCAGAUGCGUGUCACGUCUGAGCGGCCUGCCAACGUGACACUUCAUGAAGACACAAAGACAUAAAGAUGAGCGGCCAAACUCCACAUGGAAAACGAUGCCCGGACACGUCGCCUUUGAAAGACCUGCAUCGUGCUGCAUCUCCGAGACACACACACGCACUGAUGGAGGUUCUGGUCCAAGAAAGAAAUGAUACAGAUGUGGAUUCUGGAGGGCUUUCUCUAGUUUUAUAAUACGUCGCAUGUUGCUGGGGCCUCAGCUGCUCUAGCACUUAGCGUAAUGACACAUUAUGUCGUUUUGAUCACCAGUGUGCUCUGUAAGACCUAAACAUGUUGAAUUCUUUUCAUCCUUUGCUUACAAUGUACAAAUUGUGCACUAAUUGAUUUCAGGUAUGGAAAGUGUUUGCAUUCAAAUGCAUUGUGCAGCGGUGUGUAUACUGUGUCACCUCUUCAGGACGUUUUCUGGCAUAAACACUGACCUUGUCAGGAACUAGCAGUCCUCAUGGAGACCAAAACCUGGUACUGGGACAGAAACUCAUUUCUGAGGAAUAAUGUGGUGCGGUUAAGAUAGGGGUCAGGCGUCAACUGGAACAAUGGAAAGGAAGCUAAUGCAGUGUCCUACGAAGUGUGUGUGAGGAGAAAGAGAGAAAU